CAGGAUGGAUUUUUUUUUUCAUUUGUAAAAAUGAUAGAGGACUACAGAGCUUGUGUCUAGGGUUGCAGCCCAAGGGAUGGUCCCACCCACAUUUAAGGUGGGUUUUCCUACUUCCAGCAUUCCAAUCUAGAAACUUCCAGACAUGCCUGAAGGGUUGUGUCCUAGGAAUGGUGUUUGGAGCCAGAACGGUUGGAAUCCCAUCGGAUCCAUCCCAUUGCUAACUACGCUCGCAGACAAGUGAUUGCCUUCCUCGUUAGAGUCUUCUCACUUUCCUCCAAAUGGAAGGAGAAAAAUGGUCAAGGAUUUGAGGCUUCAGCUCAG